AGCUUGUUCAGUUAUUAAACAGAGGGCUCGAUUGCAGGAGGAGCUUCAGCAUCCCCUGUACUCAGCGUGGCUCUAUCCCUGAGGCUUGCCCUCAAAUCCAUAAGGGGCAGCAGAACUAACCAGCCACUGAAGCCAGCAGUCCCGGUGUUGUGGUCCAUCUCCCUGCCAGCUUUCCUCACCCGUUUGGAGAUCCAAUGAUUCGUGAAGACCUCAAUUAAUUUGGGAAAGGGAAUAAAACAGCGUUAAACGUGACGAAUCUCCCGCUGCUGCCAACCCCACAGUCAUUUCCGGACUCUUCCAGCUGGAUUUGUGGAUGGAAUCCUUGAACUUCUCUGCUGACUGGCAUCAUUACAAGCCCCAUGUUGUCCUAAGUGGGGAGAGAAGGGGACCAAGAAGACAUUGAGAGACCUCUGGAGCAAAGCGAUGCGGGCUGUAGAUCUAUAGAUUAAAGCGAGGGUGAAGGCCAAGUGCCAAGUGGUUGUGUCACUUGCAAGAGCCAGGGCCAGGAGCUGGGCUUAGCAGCACAAGUCUUUCCAUUGCUGGUUCAUUCACUUCUGCUGCUCAGGAGGGCAAAACCACAAGAGGAUGGUUGAAGUCAGGCAUCCAACAUCCCACUUCCCACCAGGAUCCCAGUUGGUGCUUGCUGGACAAGGACCUGCACCAGGAGAAGGGUUUGCUGAGAGAGGAAAAGCGCAUCCGGGAUGGUUUUCACACCCCAGGAAAGCCAAGCAGAAAGCUCCUCGAGGGUGGCCGACUUUCCAUAGCUGCUUUCCAGGGGGAUUUCUUCCCCAUUCCUCUGAGCAGCUCUAUUCACAGUAUUCCCAUAGCCAGGAGCAACAGCCUACAUCCCUGCAGCCGUCUGGAGGGGAGCUGUAAGGAAUCACAGCCCUGAUGUACCAAAGGUGAGU